UAAAUUAAGAUUGAUUGAUUGUUGGUUGCUUAACGUCCAGUGGCAAAUAUUUCAUGCAUAUUCAGGACGAGAACAAGUUCACAAUAAAUACAAUAGGUAGGUUGAUACAAUAGAGGCCAUCUGGGAUGAUGGUCGGAGAAAUUUGGACUGCCACCGGAAAAGGAGGGUAUAUUGGAUAGGGACAGAAAUUUGGCCUUGCAACAGGCCACCUACGGACCCCUCAGAGAGUUGUUGCAAGGGUUCUUAACGUGCAAAGAGCGUGGCAUUCUCUUUACACGAGGCAUCGGAUUUAACGUCCCCCUUCUGACCGGACGUGACUGCGAACUUAAUACAUCCCGCAC
rnacentral:lncRNA from 1 species